CUUCAGUAACCCUACAAGCGUCACUGCUGUUUAGUUUUCUGUCUUCAUUUAUGUUGGAAGUGAUAACAGAGCUGUACGUUUUAAUUUGUUUCCAAAACCCCGCAGUCAGGACAUGCUAUAUUGUAUUUAGAUAGAAGCUAGCGAGCUAACUCCCUGCUAACUUCUAACUCCGUUAAAUGUCAUAAAUUCCGUUUUCAUGGAUGCCUGGAUGUUAAACUCAAUUUUUACACCUGGUAGAGCAGAACGCUGAUCAUUUUAUUAAAGAUGAAAGACUUUAGACAGUUUUUCAACUCUCAGUAAUGCCACAGUGAUCGUUUGAUAUAUGGACCUGCAGCGGAGUUUAGACCCAGACACGGCUAGUGACGUCAGACUGAACAACCGGAUAGAGACUUCAUGGAAUGUAUCUUGGAAAAGCUACAUAUGUUUGGCACAAAAGUGAUUUUUACACCAUAAUUCGUAUUUUAAAAGCUGCUAGACUGGACAGGAUUUAAUUUCUUAAAAAGCAUCAAAUUAAAUUUCUAUAAAAUUUAAGUUUCUGUUGAACCUUUUCUAAUUUGAAUAAAAAUGUUCAGAGUUGUGUAAGCAGUAGGACUCAAAAUGGUAGGUAGGUAGAGUAGGGGGGGGAAAGGGCUGAAAGUGGGUCAUUGGACCAUUUAAAAAAACAAAAAAAAAAAAAACUAUUCAAUAUAUGAAACUAAAAUUUCACGGCAAUCAGUAUAAAUGUUUAAAAUUUCUACUGUAAAAUUUUUAUGCAAAUCUGAGAUGGGCUAGCAGAAGUCUUUGUUGAUUUGACACAGACUUACCCAGAAGUCAACAAGUAACAUUUAUUUUUUAGUUUAUGAAUAGCAGGUUUACUCUUCAGCUUCAGAAGCUUUUAUAAGUGCUUUGAAGUCUGCCAUGGAGACAAAGUUCCAGCUUGAAUAUGCUCUGAAGGUUAUUUCAUCACCGAGAUGGAAAAAAAGAAAAUAUUAUUCUACUAAUUUCAUCCUAGUUUUAAAUAUGUUUUAGUUUGAUAUUUUUAUUAGCCACUAAACAGGUUACACUACAUAAGAUUAAAAACUGACAAAGAUCAAGAAACACAUAACAUAUUUUUUUUAUGAACAUUAGUUAUUUUGUGGUGAUAUUUAUUUUAAUGAAGACUAAACUUGAUUUUUAUCCUGUCCUGUAUAUUUAAUCUCUCGCACUGUUUCUUUGUGAUGUGGGUCA
ensembl:lncRNA